GACGAACGCUGGCGGCGUGCCUAAUACAUGCAAGUUGAGCGCUGAAGGUUGGUACUUGUACCAACUGGAUGAGCAGCGAACGGGUGAGUAACGCGUGGGGAAUCUGCCUUUGAGCGGGGGACAACAUUUGGAAACGAAUGCUAAUACCGCAUAAAAACUUUAAACACAAGUUUUAAGUUUGAAAGAUGCAAUUGCAUCACUCAAAGAUGAUCCCGCGUUGUAUUAGCUAGUUGGUGAGGUAAAGGCUCACCAAGGCGAUGAUACAUAGCCGACCUGAGAGGGUGAUCGGCCACAUUGGGACUGAGACACGGCCCACACUCCUACGGGAGGCCGCAGUAGGGAAUCUUCGGCAAUGGACGCAAGUCUGACCGGGCAACGCCGCGUGAGUGCAGAAGGUUUUCGGAUCGUCAAACUCUGUUGGUAGAGAAGAACGUUGGUGAGAGUGGAAAGCUCAUCCAGUGACGGUAACUACCCAGAAAGGGACGGCUAACUACGUG
rnacentral:rRNA from 1 species